rnacentral:lncRNA from 10 species
CCAGGUGGUGUGUGCAAUGGAGAUCACCUUUUGCCGGGGGGUAAUCAUUUCAGUUUACAUAACACUUAUCACUCCAGGAGCCCCAAGCCCUUGUGAAUAUUAUCCUGAGAAAUAUCACUUGAAAUGAAAUGCGCAUGCAUAAACAGAGUCUAGCAAAUGGAGGCACCAAUUAUGAUGACAAUGACGAAGGUCUUAAAUGAGAACAUAAACAUUUUGACAUGUCAGCUCCCAAGGAUGUUGCCACUGUAGUCACAACACCUUCUGAGGGAAAAUCAAUUCUCAACGUUAAUGUUUCCCAUGAGUGUUGACUCCUCGGGGGAUGGGGGAGGAAGAGGGAAACAAAAGUGGAAAAACAUUUUAAAAUAUGAAUUUUAUUUUCCAUAGCAGUAUAUCAGAAAACUCAAAUAUAACUCCACAACUUUUUCAAGAGUUUCUUUUUGUUUUCCAAUGGUAACGGGAGAGAAAAUAAGCUGUCAUUAUCGGAAUGAUCAAACACAGAGAGAAAAGAGGCAGAGGUGAGAAGAUGGAGAAGAUGAAUACAUUUGCUUUCAGCAAACCAAUGGAAGUCCAUUUGCAUGAUCUGAAAAGGAAAAUGAGAAGCUAAUUUUUCUAUACAAGGCAGAAUUUAAGAAAUACAAUUCCUAAGGACUCCAGUGGAUACAGCUCUGGUUCCUGGACUUCGUGUUUUGGCUUGGUCUUUCUGCUUUUUCAAUUUUGUCACUGAUUCCAGAGAGGCUUUCAAAGGAAGUCGUGGAAUCUUCUGUGGCAAUAACAACCAUUCACAUUCACUCCCGGAGAUGUAGACUUUCUUGUGGCCUUACAGAUUGAUCACAGCCAUCAAAGGAGGAAUGAACACGUUUCCUGAGGCACUCUAUUUACAUACUCAGGGUUUUUCAUCAAUCAUGUAAAAGAGAGUUACAUUUUCAGGUCAAAGUGACUCAUCAAGCCAGAGGGGUGAGUCAUGGAAGACAUAUGACGCUUUCCAGUUUAACCUGCUGUGCGACUAUGAACACCUGUAACAGUCAUCUUGCCAUAAAUCUCUCCCUGACCUUUCUGUGACAAGAGAAACUGCUACCAAAUCCUGAAUCCUACCUGUAUAGUAAGAAAUGAUUUCAGUGUUUAUUGCAGAAAUCUUCUAUUUGGAGAAUUUAAAUUUAAAUCAAAUUCAGAGGCAAAUUCAUAUCUUACUUUAGAAGUAAAGCAAAUCAUUGGAAAAAGCACUGGGGGAGAGAGAUUGAGAUAGAGAAAGAGAGAGAUUCUCUUUCAAUCAGCAAUUCUGUGUCUAUUAGUUUUUCUUGAAAUAAGCAAGUCUUGAAAGAUGUAUGUACUGGGUGUUUAUUGCAGUAGAUUGAAUAUUACGAAAAUAUUGAAAAUUAUCCAAAAAUCUAAGGCUAUGAAACUUAAUUAUGGAAUAUUCAUACAAUGAAAUAUUAUGAAGUCUUGAAGAAUGAUAGGAAAUUGUGAUAUAUUGUUUUAAAAGUUGUAUCUUCAAUAAAUAGUGAAAAGAGGAAGAUAUCAGAAAAACCUACAGAUUAAAAGAGACUUAUGAAACUUUUUUUUU